rnacentral:rRNA from 1 species
UACGUAGGGUGCGAGCGUUGUCCGGAAUUACUGGGCGUAAAGAGCUCGUAGGUGGUUUGUCGCGUUGUUCGUGAAAACUCACAGCUCAACUGUGGGCGUGCGGGCGAUACGGGCAGACUGGAGUACUGCAGGGGAGACUGGAAUUCCUGGUGUAGCGGUGGGAAUGACGCAGAUAUCAGGAGGAACACCGGUGGCGAAGGCGGGUCUCUGGGCAGUAACUGACGCUGAGGAGCGAAAAGCGUGGGGGAGCGAACAGG